rnacentral:lncRNA from 1 species
AAGGGAAAGUUGAAAAUUUGGGCAAAAUAAUUUUCUCUAAGUUAAAAAAAAACUAAUGAUGGUUGUGAUAUAUGCUACCGUGUAACCCGGGCAGAUUACCCCACGUCUCUGAACCUUAGCAACCUUGUCUGUACCGUGGGAACUCUGCGGGGUGGCUGAAGGUUGGAUGAAGAUAGUCCUGGGUUCAUGCCAGUGAAUAAAGUAAGUGGCAGAUAAACAUCAAAAACACAUGAGGGGCUGGUGUCUUGAGACUUGGUGUCUCUGCCUAUGUCAGCACGGGCAGAGGGACAUAAAACACAGACAUAUCUCUGCCUCCUAAACCACCAGAGAAGGCUCCAGCUGCUGAGAGGAGAGGAGGAAGCCCACUGGCCCUGGGGAGGCUGCUGAGCUCUGGCCACUCACUCCCCCCAAGUACCUAAGGGCUCCCUCCUAAGAGGCCAACCCCCAGCCACAGCUCUUCAGCAGAUGGACCCAAGAUCAGAAUGAGUCUGCCCACUCCUUGCAGCCUACAGCCUGCCCUGUUCCCCCAUCCCCUGCCUGCCAACCAGCUAGGGCCAGGAGGCCAUUGUUCAUCAUUAAUAAUAUAAGAGACCAGAAUUCUUAACAUGCACACAGGCCUUCGUAUUAGGGCCCAGCCAACUUCCCUGGUCAUUGCUCUCCUGUGUCCUAUAAGAGUCUAAUUCUCCUGUUCCCUGGAGUGCUAGUUGGCCACAUAGCUCUGGGGAGUCACCCACCUGCCUGGCCCUUGUGAUCUCAUCUGUAAAAGAGGGUGGCAGGCAAUUUGUAACAUCUCCAGGACAGAUACACAAUGCUUUUCUACUUAUUCCUAGAUUUGGAGGCAACUGGAGGCAACUUGGAGGGAACAUGGGUUGGGGCUGGCGAGUUAGAGUGGGUACCAGCGUCCUACAGAUCGCUUGUGAGAAACCUUCCUCUUGGUGGAGAGAAAAGCAAGAGAGAAAGGGCCCAAACUGUAGCAACAAGG